rnacentral:rRNA from 1 species
GGUUAAGCGACUAAGCGUACACGGUGGAUGCCCUGGCAGUCAGAGGCGAUGAAGGACGUGCUAAUCUGCGAUAAGCGCCGGUAAGGUGAUAUGAACCGUUAUAACCGGCGAUUUCCGAAUGGGGAAACCCAGUGUGACUCGUCACACUAUCAUUAACUGAAUCCAUAGGUUAAUGAGGCGAACCGGGGGAACUGAAACAUCUAAGUACCCCGAGGAAAAGAAAUCAACCGAGAUUCCCCCAGUAGCGGCGAGCGAACGGGGAGGAGCCCAGAGCCUGAAUCAGCAUGUGUGUUAGUGGAAGCGUCUGGAAAGGCGCGCGAUACAGGGUGACAGCCCCGUACACAAAAGCGCAUGUGCUGUGAGCUCGAUGAGUAGGGCGGGACACGUGGUAUCCUGUCUGAAUAUGGGGGGACCAUCCUCCAAGGCUAAAUACUCCUGACUGACCGAUAGUGAACCAGUACCGUGAGGGAAAGGCGAAAAGAACCCCGGCGAGGGGAGUGAAAAAGAACCUGAAACCGUGUACGUACAAGCAGUGGGAGCACCCUUUGGGGUGUGACUGCGUACCUUUUGUAUAAUGGGUCAGCGACUUAUAUUCUGUAGCAAGGUUAACCGAAUAGGGGAGCCGGAGGGAAACCGAGUCUUAAUUGGGCGUUAAGUUGCAGGGUAUAGACCCGAAACCCGGUGAUCUAGCCAUGGGCAGGUUGAAGGUUGGGUAACACUAACUGGAGGACCGAACCGACUAAUGUUGAAAAAUUAGCGGAUGACCUGUGGCUGGGGGUGAAAGGCCAAUCAAACCGGGAGAUAGCUGGUUCUCCCCGAAAGCUAUUUAGGUAGCGCCUCGUGAAUUCAUCUCCGGGGGUAGAGCACUGUUUCGGCUAGGGGGCCAUCCCGGCUUACCAACCCGAUGCAAACUGCGAAUACCGGAGAAUGUUAUCACGGGAGACACACGGCGGGUGCUAACGUCCGUCGUGAAGAGGGAAACAACCCAGACCGCCAGCUAAGGUCCCAAAGUCAUGGUUAAGUGGGAAACGAUGUGGGAAGGCCCAGACAGCCAGGAUGUUGGCUUAGAAGCAGCCAUCAUUUAAAGAAAGCGUAAUAGCUCACUGGUCGAGUCGGCCUGCGCGGAAGAUGUAACGGGGCUAAACCAUGCACCGAAGCUGCGGCAGCGACACUCAGGUGUUGUUGGGUAGGGGAGCGUUCUGUAAGCCUGCGAAGGUGGCCUGUGAGGGUUGCUGGAGGUAUCAGAAGUGCGAAUGCUGACAUAAGUAACGAUAAAGCGGGUGAAAAGCCCGCUCGCCGGAAGACCAAGGGUUCCUGUCCAACGUUAAUCGGGGCAGGGUGAGUCGACCCCUAAGGCGAGGCCGAAAGGCGUAGUCGAUGGGAAACGGGUUAAUAUUCCCGUACUUGGUGUUACUGCGAAGGGGGGACGGAGAAGGCUAUGUUGGCCGGGCGACGGUUGUCCCGGUUUAAGCGUGUAGGCUGGUUUUCCAGGCAAAUCCGGAAAAUCAAGGCUGAGGCGUGACGACGAGGCACUACGGUGCUGAAGCAACAAAUGCCCUGCUUCCAGGAAAAGCCUCUAAGCAUCAGGUAACAUCAAAUCGUACCCCAAACCGACACAGGUGGUCAGGUAGAGAAUACCAAGGCGCUUGAGAGAACUCGGGUGAAGGAACUAGGCAAAAUGGUGCCGUAACUUCGGGAGAAGGCACGCUGACACGUAGGUGAAGUGAUUUACUCAUGGAGCUGAAGUCAGUCGAAGAUACCAGCUGGCUGCAACUGUUUAUUAAAAACACAGCACUGUGCAAACACGAAAGUGGACGUAUACGGUGUGACGCCUGCCCGGUGCCGGAAGGUUAAUUGAUGGGGUCAGCGCAAGCGAAGCUCCUGAUCGAAGCCCCGGUAAACGGCGGCCGUAACUAUAACGGUCCUAAGGUAGCGAAAUUCCUUGUCGGGUAAGUUCCGACCUGCACGAAUGGCGUAAUGAUGGCCAGGCUGUCUCCACCCGAGACUCAGUGAAAUUGAACUCGCUGUGAAGAUGCAGUGUACCCGCGGCAAGACGGAAAGACCCCGUGAACCUUUACUAUAGCUUGACACUGAACAUUGAGCCUUGAUGUGUAGGAUAGGUGGGAGGCUUUGAAGUGUGGACGCCAGUCUGCAUGGAGCCGACCUUGAAAUACCACCCUUUAAUGUUUGAUGUUCUAACGUGGACCCGUAAUCCGGGUUGCGGACAGUGUCUGGUGGGUAGUUUGACUGGGGCGGUCUCCUCCUAAAGAGUAACGGAGGAGCACGAAGGUUGGCUAAUCCUGGUCGGACAUCAGGAGGUUAGUGCAAUGGCAUAAGCCAGCUUGACUGCGAGCGUGACGGCGCGAGCAGGUGCGAAAGCAGGUCAUAGUGAUCCGGUGGUUCUGAAUGGAAGGGCCAUCGCUCAACGGAUAAAAGGUACUCCGGGGAUAACAGGCUGAUACCGCCCAAGAGUUCAUAUCGACGGCGGUGUUUGGCACCUCGAUGUCGGCUCAUCACAUCCUGGGGCUGAAGUAGGUCCCAAGGGUAUGGCUGUUCGCCAUUUAAAGUGGUACGCGAGCUGGGUUUAGAACGUCGUGAGACAGUUCGGUCCCUAUCUGCCGUGGGCGCUGGAGAACUGAGGGGGGCUGCUCCUAGUACGAGAGGACCGGAGUGGACGCAUCACUGGUGUUCGGGUUGUCAUGCCAAUGGCACUGCCCGGUAGCUAAAUGCGGAAGAGAUAAGUGCUGAAAGCAUCUAAGCACGAAACUUGCCCCGA